UGCCAGCCGCCGCGGUAAUACGGAGGGGGCUAGCGUUGCUCGGAAUUACUGGGCGUAAAGCGCGCGUAGGCGGCGAAUCUAGUCAGGCGUGAAAGCCCAGGGCUUAACCCUGGAACUGCGCUUGAUACUGGUUUGCUAGAAUUCGAGAGAGGGUAGCGGAAUUUCCAGUGUAGAGGUGAAAUUCGUAGAUAUUGGAAAGAACACCGGUGGCGAAGGCAUCUCUCUGGGUCGAUAUUGACGCUGAGGCGCGAAAGCGUGGGGAGCGAACAGGAUUAGAUA
rnacentral:rRNA from 1 species